rnacentral:lncRNA from 1 species
GUAACCCUUGGCCAGCGAAGGUGCACAUUGCGCCUACAAAUCCAAUUGCUUUAUUUCUAUGUAGAUUUUAAAUGUAUAAUUUUACUCGGACCUACUACUGAUUAUAACCAAAAAAACAAAUAUAUAAAUAUACACAUCUAGCAUAUAUAACAUAUUGGGACGCACGUGCGUACGGAAGGACAAGGGUAACACUUAAUGCACACUCUGAAGCUGCGGGGAAU